UGAUAAUCAUUUUCAGAUGAUUUAAUGUUAUGCUACUAUCGUGGUUCCAUGUUGGUGUUAUGCAAAUUGUUUUUUUUUCUUCUUCUUCUCUUCCUAUUUUUGUAGAUUACUGAGAGAGAAGAAGUUUGUUUACUUGCGUUGCCACAUGUCAUUUUUUUAGUGGAAGUUCUUUAAUUUUUAAAAUUAUUUUUUGGCUUACCAAAAUGAAGCAAAGUAAGGUGUUGUUCC
rnacentral:lncRNA from 1 species